rnacentral:rRNA from 1 species
GACGAACGCUGGCGGCGUACCUAAUACAUGCAAGUAGGACGCAGUUGCGAACGGGUGAGUAACGCGUAGGUAACUGCCUAUUAGAGGGGGAUAACUAUUGGAAACGAUAGCUAAUACCGCAUACUAGUAGAUGGACCUGCGUUGUAUUAGCUAGUAGGUAGGGUAAUGGGCUACCUAGGCGACGAUACAUAGCCGACCUGGGAGGGUGGUCGGCCAAAAGUGGACUGAGACACGGCCCAGCCUCCGACGGGAGGCAGCAGUAGGGAAUCUACGGCAAUGGGGGGAAACCUGACCGAGGAAAGGCGCGUGAGUGAAGAAGGGUUGCGGAUCGUAAAGCUAGGUUGUUAAAGAAGCGGUACUUAACCAGAAAGGGACGGCUAACUACGUGCCAGCGGCCGCGGUAAUAC